UACGGAGGGUGCGAGCGUUAAUCGGAAUUACUGGGCGUAAAGCGCGCGUAGGCGGUUUGGUCAGUCUGAUGUGAAAGCCCUGGGCUUAACCUGGGAACUGCAUUGGAUACUGCCAGGCUAGAGUGUGAUAGAGGGUAGUGGAAUUUCCGGUGUAGCAGUGAAAUGCGUAGAGAUCGGAAGGAACACCAGUGGCGAAGGCGGCUACCUGGGUCAACACUGACGCUGAGGUGCGAAAGCGUGGGGAGCAAACAGG
rnacentral:rRNA from 1 species